CGCCAGACUCCUCGGGAGGCAGCAGUGGGGAAUAUUGCACAAUGGGGGAAACCCUGAUGCAGCGACGCCGCGUGAGUGAAGAAGUAAUUCGUUAUGUAAAGCUCUAUCAGCAGGGAAGAAAAUGACGGUACCUGAGUAAGAAGCCCCGGCUAACUACGUGCCAGCAGCCGCGGUAAUACGUAGGGGGCAAGCGUUAUCCGGAUUUACUGGGUGUAAAGGGAGCGUAGACGGCAGUGCAAGUCCGGAGUGAAAGCCCGGGGCUCAACCCUGGGACUGCUCUGGAAACUGUAAAGCUGGAGUGCGGGAGGGGCAGGCGGAAUUCCUGGUGUAGCGGUGAAAUGCGUAGAUAUCAGGAGGAACACCGGCGGCGAAGGCGGCCUGCUGGACCGUAACUGACGUUGAGGCUCGAAAGCGUGGGGAGCAAACAGGAUUAGAUACCCCCGUAGA
rnacentral:rRNA from 1 species